AGGUUGAACGCUGGCGGCAUGCCUAACACAUGCAAGUCGAACGGUAACAGGUCUUCGGAUGCUGACGAGUGGCGGACGGGUGAGUAAUGCGUAGGAAUCUGUCUUUUAGUGGGGGAUAGCCCGGAGAAAUCCGGAUUAAUACCGCAUAUGCCCUACGGGGUAAAGCGGGGGGAUCGUAAGACCUCGCGCUGGUGGAUGAGCCUACGUCCGAUUAGUUAGUUGGUGGGGUAAAGGCCGUACCAAGGCUACGAUCGGUAGCUGGUCUGAGAGGACGACCAGCCACACUGGGACUGAGACACGGCCCAGACUCCUACGGGAGGCAGC
rnacentral:rRNA from 1 species